UGGCUCAGAUGGUAAAGAAUCUGCCUGCAAAGCAGAAGACCCAGGUUCAAUCCCUGG
rnacentral:tRNA from 1 species